rnacentral:rRNA from 1 species
CAGGGCUUGACAUCCCCCUGCCGGGUCUGGAAACAGAUCUUUCUCUUAUGAGACGGGGGUGACAGGUGGUGCAUGGUUGUCGUCAGCUCGUGUCGUGAGAUGUUGGGUUAAGUCCCGCAACGAGCGCAACCCUUAUCUCUAGUUGCCAGCACUAUGGGUGGGGACUCUAGAGAGACCGCCGGGGACAACUCGGAGGAAGGUGGGGAUGACGUCAAAUCAUCAUGCCCCUUAUGCCCUGGGCUACACACGUGCUACAAUGGCCUGUAACAAAGGGAAGCGAAGGCGUGAGCCGGAGCGAAACCCAAAAACCAGGUCUCAGUUCGGAUUGUGGGCUGCAACCCGCCCACAUGAAGCCGGAAUCGCUAGUAAUCGCGGAUCAGCAUGCCGCGGUGAAUACGUUCCCGGGCCUUGUACACACCGCCCGUCACACCAUGGGAGUCGGGGGCACCCGAAGCCAGUGACCCAACCUGAAUGGAGGGAGCUGUCGAAGGUGAACUCGAUGACUGGGGUG